GACGAACGCUGGCGGCGUGCCUAAUACAUGCAAGUAGAACGCACAGUUUAUACCGUAGCUUGCUACACCAUAGACUGUGAGUUGCGAACGGGUGAGUAACGCGUAGGUAACCUGCCUGGUAGCGGGGGAUAACUAUUGGAAACGAUAGCUAAUACCGCAUAAUAUUAAUUAUUGCAUGAUAAUUAAUUGAAAGGUGCAAUUGCACCACUACCAGAUGGACCUGCGUUGUAUUAGCUAGUAGGUGAGGUAACGGCUCACCUAGGCGACGAUACAUAGCCGACCUGAGAGGGAGAUCGGCCACACUGGGACUUAGACACGGCCCAGACUCCUACGGGAGGCAGCAGUAGGGAAUCUUCGGCAAUGGACGAAAGUCUGACCGAGCAACGCCGCGUGAGUGAAGAAGGGUUUCGGAUCGUAAAGCUCUGUUGUAAGAGAAGAACGGGUGUGAGAGUGGAAAGUUCACACUGUGACGGUAUCUUACCAGAAAGGGACGGCUAACUACGUG
rnacentral:rRNA from 1 species